GACUCCUUGGCGCAACGGUAGCGCGUUCGACUCCAGCGCGAGUUGUAAUCGAAAGGUUAUCCGUUCAAAUCGGGUAGGGGUCA